rnacentral:rRNA from 1 species
UACGGGGGGGGCAAGCGUUGUUCGGAAUUACUGGGCGUAAAGGGCUCGUAGGCGGCCAACUAAGUCGGACGUGAAAUCCCCAGGCUCAACCUGGGAACUGCGUCCGAUACUGGAUGGCUUGAAUCCGGGAGAGGGAUGCAGAAUUCCAGGUGUAGCGGUGAAAUGCGUAGAUAUCUGGAGGAAUACCGGUGGCGAAGGCGGCAUCCUGGACCGGCAUUGACGCUGAGGGGCGAAAGCCAGGGGAGCAAACGGG